CUUCACUGUCGCUCCCUAUGUUGGAUCCCCAGGGCCAGGCUCCAGCUCCUGGCAUGUAGUAGGAACUCGGCAAAUAUUGUUGGAUAAGUAAGUGAGUAAAGGAAGUGGACGCCCAGCUUCCCAGCCAGAGCCUGGCACUGGCUGGGCCCCAGACAUCAGAGGAGUGGCUGUCCGUGUGAGGCAGGAGUUUCUCUGGUCAACCUGCACAGCCCUGGUGAGGUGUAUGGAUUGGGAAGCCCCCAAGCUUAUCCUCUCGGAUCUUCCAAGCCCAGGAUGGAGGCGUUCCCUGGAGGCCUCGCGGUUAAGGACCCAGCGUUGUCACUGCUGUGGCUGGAAUCACUGCUAUGGGGCAGGUGCCAUCCCUGGCCCAGGAACUUCUGCAUGCCACAGGCACGGCCAGGAACAAAACACCCCAGAUUGGAGAUGAAGAGGGGAAGCCAGGACAGGGAGAAACUUGCACAUCUGGGCCUUGGCACAUGCCAGUCUUCACCUCCCAACGUCACUCAAGCUCACAUGCACACAAUCUCAAGUUCAAGUCCUUCCUUCCCCAACCCUUCCCCUGACCCUUUUCUCCUGAGCGCCCCGUGUCUUCAUGUCAUAAUUCCUGCCAUGUAAAUUGGAAGUAUUCUUUUUUUUCUCUCUCUUUUUUUGGCCGCACCCUCGGCAUGUGGAGAUUCUUGAGCCAGGAAUGAACCCACACCACAGUGAUGACCUGAGCCACAGCAGUGACAACACUGGAUCCUUAACUUGCUGAGCCACCAGGGAACUCCUGGACAUAUUCAUUUAGGGGUUUUCUUCCUCACUAGGCUGGGCCACCACCGAACCCUGUUUCCGUCUGUGGCCCUAACUGUGUGCCUGGCACCAGGCGGGGUGUGAGGAAUGGGACAGGGACCACAACAAACAGGGGCACCCACCAAGAACCCCCUGAACAGGAUGCUUUCAGCCCACAGGAUGCAGGGCCUUCCAGCUGGACAGAGAUGGGGUUCCACUCCUCUUUCAGUCCCAGCAUCCCAGCCAGAGGCUGGCACAGUCUGGGCACCAGACGAAGAUUGGUUGAGAAUGGCUGAAGAAGCCAGCCUGGAAAAAGCAAGUUUACAAUCGACCUUCCCUCAGCCACCAGAGGGCAGCACCACCCAAAAAAACAGCCUCCCCUCUUCCCAGCCCAGGGCUUCUAGGAGCUGCUUUCCUGGGUCCCAGGAAUCAACCAGUGGCGCCUUGCAGACUGGCUCUCUGGAAGAAUCCCUGCUUCAGGCCUGCCUGGGUUUCCGGUUGGGCAGUGGAUGGGAAGGGCCUUCUGGGUUUGCAGGUGGUGCGGGGAGGUGGAGCCACUUCCCGGAGCAGGAUGCCUAGCUUUUCAGAAUUCACAGGGACUCUGGUCAUUGGACAGAAUUUUUAAAACAGGAGCUGCUCCAAAAACUCCAGGCCAGUGUGUAGCUGGAGUCAGGGUCCUGACGAGCUGGGGAGGGGUGGGAGCCGGGAAGAUAGAGGCCUCCUUUUGCAUCUUCCUGUGCUUCUGGCCACUUUCUCUCCCAAACUCCAUGCCUCACCUUGAGUUGAGACUCUCACUCCCUCAGUCACUCAUUCACUCAUCAAACGUGGACUACACCACCUUUCUGUACCAGGUCCCGUGGUGGGCACCAGGGACAAGCGGUGACCUGAGAGCAUCAAUUAACACUGAGAGAAGGCCAUUUUUUUUUUCUUAAGAUACAUUUGCAUUUCUAACAUCAAGAUGCAUUUUUCCAAUUGAUGCAAACAUUUAAUAAAGCUUCACACACACACAUCCCACCCCAUCAAAAACCUGAAAUGAUGCAUCUUGCAAUUGACGAUAUUUCCUUUUUUUUUUUUCUUUUCAGGGCCAAACCCUCAGCAUAUGGCAGUUCCCAGGCUAGGGGUCUAAUCGCAGCUACAGCUGCCAGCCUACGCCACAGCUCACGGCAAUGUCGGAUCUUUAAUCCAACUGAGCGAGGCCAGGAACCUCGAACCUGCAACCUCAUGGUUCCUAGUCAGAGUUGUUUCCGCUGGGCCACCACAGGGACUCCCUGAUGAUAUUUUCAAAUCCAGGAAAUAGGCAUGAGUGCAGAACAAGAGAGGUGCCCAGCUGGGGGCAGGGGAAUGGGGAAGGCCACCUAAAGGAGGUGGCUCUUAAAGAAGGAGCAGGUGUUCACCAGGGAGGAGGGAAGAGCAAAGGCAAAGAGGUAACAACAGAUGGGUGGGCUGGUGGGGGUCCCAGGGCAUAGAGGGUGGUGGCAGCACAAGCCUGAGAGAGGAGCAGGACCCAGUCAUCCAAGACCUUGACUUGCAGGUUAAGGAACUUGUUCACCUGAUCUGCUUUGGGCAGAAUGGGGUGGGGCCUGAAGGCCCUUCUGAUUCCCCACCCUCAGCAGCCCAAGAAGGC
ensembl:lncRNA